UCAUCACCAACCUCCGGCCGAAUCCAGCUCUCGCACGCCCCUUCCUCCGCAACGACCGCGCCGCGAAUCCCGCGCCCGAGCUCAAGUCCGAGCCGGACUCUCCUCCGACUCCCGCGUGGGCCCGCACUCCUGUCCGCACUAUUUAAGGCCCCCGCCGUCGCCCGAGGUCGUCACGAACCCUAGCUUGAGCUCCCCUGCGCCGCCGCCAUUGACGCCGCAGCUCCACCGCCUUCGCUCGUCCGCCGCCAGGAGCGCCCCCGGAACCAAAUCGAAGCCACCCUCGGGUUUCCCCUCGCCGAGACGCGUUCGUUCCGCCGGUCUUCUUCGCCAUCUCAUCACCGGAACGCCGCCGGCGUGGAGUCCGAGCCGCCCGCCGCCCGCUUCCUGUCCGUUUCCGGCCGCCGUUGUUCAUCUCCGUCGUAGAUCUAACCCCGAGUUUUCAGCUUUUCGCGGGCUCUGUUCUCUGUGUCUUGAAGAAUCGUUGUUCAAAAGCUUUGAAGAUUAAAAGUUUCAAGAUAACAAGAGCCAAAGAGCAGUAAGAGUAACUUUUCGUUGGAGAAAGGCAAGUAUCCCUAACCAUACUUCUAUCUAUGCUUAUUCAUAAGAAUAUCUUGCAU